UACGGAGGGUGCAAGCGUUAUCCGGAUUCACUGGGUUUAAAGGGUGCGUAGGUGGCGUGGUAAGUCAGAUGUGAAAUCCCCAGGCUCAACUUGGGAACUGCAUCCGAUACUGGAUGGCUUGAAUUCGGGAGAGGGAUGCAGAAUUCCAGGUGUAGCGGUGAAAUGCGUAGAUAUCUGGAGGAAUACCGGUGGCGAAGGCGGCAUCCUGGACCGACAUUGACGCUGAGGAGCGAAAGCUAGGGGAGCAAACGGG
rnacentral:rRNA from 1 species